GUAUGUGCCCUAUCAUAAGAUCUAUGUGAGCUGGUAUUGGUAUAAUAAGGAACCACCAGGCCAAAUUUUGCUAUCCCAAUUUACCCCUGGUGACAUAACGCUUUGUCUAUAAUAAGGUAUAGGUAUAGUCCAUUUAUUUAUUAUCCUAGGUUUUUCCAACGAGAUGACAUAAUUUUCAAUAAGAAUAAUACAUUUGAUUAGGUUAUAUACUAUUAUACAGUAUAAUUUAGUUUAUUGCUGAU